GCCUGCCCAGUGACCAUGUGUUCAACGGCCGCGGUAUUCUGACCGCGCGAAGGUAGCGUAAUCACUUGUCUUCUAAAUAAAGACUAGUAUGAACGGCCACACGAAGACUUAACUGUCUCCCCUGUCCAAUCAGUGAAACUGAUCUCCUUGUGCAGAAGCGAGGAUAAACCCAUAAGACGAGAAGACCCUAUGGAGCUUUAAACUUAAUAUUAACUAUUUCUAUAAUCCCCUCUAAGGAAUUAACAAAUAACCCUUUUCAACUUAAUAUUAGUUUUAGGUUGGGGCGACCAUGGAGAAAAAAAUAUCCUCCCUGAUGACUUUUAAACCAAGAGCUACAACUCUAAGUAUUAAGAUACUUAACUUCCAUUGACCCAUUUUAUGAUCAACGAACCAAGUUACCCUAGGGAUAACAGCGCAAUCCAUUUCAAGAGUCCCUAUCGACAAAUGGGUUUACGACCUCGAUGUUGGAUCAGGGCAUCCCAGUGGUGCAACCGCUACUAAUGGUUCGUUUGUUCAACGAUUAAAGCCCU
rnacentral:rRNA from 2 species